AAACCAACAGGGAUUGCCUCAGUAACGGCGAGUGAAGCGGCAACAGCUCAAAUUUGAAAUCUGGCCGCAAGGUCCGAGUUGUAAUUUGUAGAGGAUGCUUUUGGCGAGGUGACUUCCGAGUUCCCUGGAACGGGACGCCAUAGAGGGUGAGAGCCCCGUACGGUCGUGCCACCGAGCCUCUGUAAAGCUCCUUCGACGAGUCGAGUAGUUUGGGAAUGCUGCUCUAAAUGGGAGGUGUACGUCUUCUAAAGCUAAAUACCGGCCAGAGACCGAUAGCGCACAAGUAGAGUGAUCGAAAGAUGAAAAGCACUUUGAAAAGAGGGUUAAAAAGUACGUGAAAUUGUUGAAAGGGAAGCAUUCAUGACCAGACUUGGGCUUGGUUGAACAUCCGGCGUUCUCGCCGGUGCACUCUGCCAGCUCAGGCCAGCAUCAGUUUGCCCCGGGGGACAAAGGCGGCGGGAAUGUGGCUCCCUACGGGGAGUGUUAUAGCCCGUCGUGUAAUGCCCUGGGGUGGACUGAGGUUCGCGCUUCGGCACGGAUGCUGGCGUAAUGGUCAUCAAUGACCCGUCUUGA
rnacentral:rRNA from 1 species